GGGAUCUAGAGUGUGCGAGAGGUAUGCGGAAUGCGUGGUGUAGCGGUGAAAUGCAUAGAUAUCACGCAGAACCCCGAUUGCGAAGGCAGCAUACCGGUGCACAACUGACGCUCAGGCACGAAAGCGUGGGUAUCGAACAGGAUUAGAUACCCUGGUAGUCCACGCAGUAAACGAUGAAUGCUACCUGUUUGGCCAGAUUGAUGGCUGAGCGGGACAGCGAAAGCGUUAAGCAUUCCACCUGGGGAGUACGCCGGCAACGGUGAAACUCAAAGGAAUUGACGGGGGCCCGCACAAGCGGAGGAACAUGUGGUUUAAUUCGAUGAUACGCGAGGAACCUUACCCGGGCUCAAACGCAGGAGGGAUGUUUUUGAAAGGAGGCAGCCAGCAAUGGUCUCCUGCGAGGUGCUGCAUGGUUGUCGUCAGCUCGUGCCGUGAGGUGUCGGCUUAAGUGCCAUAACGAGCGCAACCCCUAUCGACAGUUGCUAACGAGUCGAGUCGAGGACUCUGUCGAGACUGCCGGCGCAAGCUGUGAGGAAGGCGGGGAUGACGUCAAAUCAGCACGGCCCUUACGUCCGGGGCGACACACGUGUUACAAUGGCAGGGACAGCGGGAAGCCACCAAGCGAUUGGGCGCGGAACCCGAAACCCUGUCUCAGUUCGGAUUGGAGUCUGCAACUCGACUCCAUGAAGCUGGAUUCGCUAGUAAUCGCGCAUCAGCCAUGGCGCGGUGAAUACGUUCCCGGGCCUUGUACACACCGCCCGUCAAGCCAUGGGAGUCGGGAGUGCCUGAAGUUCGUGACCGUUUAGGAGCGACCUAGGGCAAGACUGAUGACUGGGGCUAAGUCGUAACAAGGUAACCGUAA
rnacentral:rRNA from 1 species